GUGACAGCUCAAUGGUAGAGCAUCUACUUUGCAUGCAGAAGGUUCCAGGUUCACUCCCAGGUAGAGAUG